rnacentral:rRNA from 1 species
UACGUAGGUGACAAGCGUUGUCCGGAUUUACUGGGCGUAAAGAGCGCGCAGGCGGUCGUUCAAGUCGAGUGUGAAAGCCCCCGGCUCAACUGGGGAGGGUCACUCGAUACUGAUCGACUCGAAGGCAGGAGAGGGUAGUGGAAUUCCCGGUGUAGUGGUGAAAUGCGUAGAUAUCGGGAGGAACACCAGUGGCGAAGGCGACUACCUGGCCUGUUCUUGACGCUGAGGCGCGAAAGCUAGGGGAGCAAACGGG